rnacentral:rRNA from 1 species
CCCUUAGACGUUCUGGGCCGCACGCGCGCUACACUGACCAGUGCAACAAGCAUCCGUCCUUGGCCGACAGGCCCGGGCAAUCUUUGAACGCUGGUCGUGAUGGGGAUAGACUUUUGCAAUUUUUGGUCUUCAACGAGGAAUUCCUAGUAAACGCAAGUCAUCAACUUGCAUUGAUUACGUCCCUGCCCUUUGUACACACCGCCCGUCGCACCUACCGAUUGAAUGGUCCGGUGAAAUCUCGGGACGGCGGCUUGGUCGCUUGCGUCCGACUGCUGAAACUUGAUUAAACCAUAUCAUUUAGAGGAAGGUGAAGUCGUNACA